rnacentral:hammerhead_ribozyme from 1 species
AUACUGCUGAGGAGUCCCACACUAGGACGAAACGACCGUCUAGUGAU